GUUCAUUGAAAAAUCACCCCUGGUCUUGGUCGUGGCCUGGGUUGAGAUUCAGCACCCAGAGCCACAAAGAGACUCAGUUCACUCUGGCUGCCAUGGUGUGGGAGGGUGAAACCUAGGCCGAAACAAGG
ensembl:snoRNA